GGUUAAGCGACUAAGCGUACACGGUGGAUGCCCUGGCAGUCAGAGGCGAUGAAGGACGUGCUAAUCUGCGAUAAGCGUCGGUAAGGUGAUAUGAACCGUUAUAACCGGCGAUUUCCGAAUGGGGAAACCCAGUGUGUUUCGACACACUAUCAUUAACUGAAUCCAUAGGUUAAUGAGGCGAACCGGGGGAACUGAAACAUCUAAGUACCCCGAGGAAAAGAAAUCAACCGAGAUUCCCCCAGUAGCGGCGAGCGAACGGGGAGGAGCCCAGAGUCUGAAUCAGUGUGUGUGUUAGUGGAAGCGUCUGGAAAGGCGCGCGAUACAGGGUGACAGCCCCGUACACAAAAAUGCACAUACUGUGAGCUCGAUGAGUAGGGCGGGACACGUGGUAUCCUGUCUGAAUAUGGGGGGACCAUCCUCCAAGGCUAAAUACUCCUGACUGACCGAUAGUGAACCAGUACCGUGAGGGAAAGGCGAAAAGAACCCCGGCGAGGGGAGUGAAAAAGAACCUGAAACCGUGUACGUACAAGCAGUGGGAGCCUCUUUUAUGGGGUGACUGCGUACCUUUUGUAUAAUGGGUCAGCGACUUAUAUUCUGUAGCAAGGUUAACCGAAUAGGGGAGCCGAAGGGAAACCGAGUCUUAACUGGGCGUUAAGUUGCAGGGUAUAGACCCGAAACCCGGUGAUCUAGCCAUGGGCAGGUUGAAGGUUGGGUAACACUAACUGGAGGACCGAACCGACUAAUGUUGAAAAAUUAGCGGAUGACUUGUGGCUGGGGGUGAAAGGCCAAUCAAACCGGGAGAUAGCUGGUUCUCCCCGAAAGCUAUUUAGGUAGCGCCUCGUGAAUUCAUCUCCGGGGGUAGAGCACUGUUUCGGCAAGGGGGUCAUCCCGACUUACCAACCCGAUGCAAACUGCGAAUACCGGAGAAUGUUAUCACGGGAGACACACGGCGGGUGCUAACGUCCGUCGUGAAGAGGGAAACAACCCAGACCGCCAGCUAAGGUCCCAAAGUCAUGGUUAAGUGGGAAACGAUGUGGGAAGGCCCAGACAGCCAGGAUGUUGGCUUAGAAGCAGCCAUCAUUUAAAGAAAGCGUAAUAGCUCACUGGUCGAGUCGGCCUGCGCGGAAGAUGUAACGGGGCUAAACCAUGCACCGAAGCUGCGGCAGCGACGCUUAUGCGUUGUUGGGUAGGGGAGCGUUCUGUAAGCCUGCGAAGGUGUGCUGUGAGGCAUGCUGGAGGUAUCAGAAGUGCGAAUGCUGACAUAAGUAACGAUAAAGCGGGUGAAAAGCCCGCUCGCCGGAAGACCAAGGGUUCCUGUCCAACGUUAAUCGGGGCAGGGUGAGUCGACCCCUAAGGCGAGGCCGAAAGGCGUAGUCGAUGGGAAACAGGUUAAUAUUCCUGUACUUGGUGUUACUGCGAAGGGGGGACGGAGAAGGCUAUGUUGGCCGGGCGACGGUUGUCCCGGUUUAAGCGUGUAGGCUGGUUUUCCAGGCAAAUCCGGAAAAUCAAGGCUGAGGCGUGAUGACGAGGCACUACGGUGCUGAAGCAACAAAUGCCAUGCUUCCAGGAAAAGCCUCUAAGCAUCAGGUAACAUCAAAUCGUACCCCAAACCGACACAGGUGGUCAGGUAGAGAAUACCAAGGCGCUUGAGAGAACUCGGGUGAAGGAACUAGGCAAAAUGGUGCCGUAACUUCGGGAGAAGGCACGCUGAUAUGUAGGUGAAGCGACUUGCUCGUGGAGCUGAAAUCAGUCGAAGAUACCAGCUGGCUGCAACUGUUUAUUAAAAACACAGCACUGUGCAAACACGAAAGUGGACGUAUACGGUGUGACGCCUGCCCGGUGCCGGAAGGUUAAUUGAUGGGGUCAGCGCAAGCGAAGCUCUUGAUCGAAGCCCCGGUAAACGGCGGCCGUAACUAUAACGGUCCUAAGGUAGCGAAAUUCCUUGUCGGGUAAGUUCCGACCUGCACGAAUGGCGUAAUGAUGGCCAGGCUGUCUCCACCCGAGACUCAGUGAAAUUGAACUCGCUGUGAAGAUGCAGUGUACCCGCGGCAAGACGGAAAGACCCCGUGAACCUUUACUAUAGCUUGACACUGAACAUUGAGCCUUGAUGUGUAGGAUAGGUGGGAGGCUUAGAAGUGUGGACGCCAGUCUGCAUGGAGCCGACCUUGAAAUACCACCCUUUAAUGUUUGAUGUUCUAACGUUGACCCGUAAUCCGGGUUGCGGACAGUGUCUGGUGGGUAGUUUGACUGGGGCGGUCUCCUCCUAAAGAGUAACGGAGGAGCACGAAGGUUGGCUAAUCCUGGUCGGACAUCAGGAGGUUAGUGCAAUGGCAUAAGCCAGCUUGACUGCGAGCGUGACGGCGCGAGCAGGUGCGAAAGCAGGUCAUAGUGAUCCGGUGGUUCUGAAUGGAAGGGCCAUCGCUCAACGGAUAAAAGGUACUCCGGGGAUAACAGGCUGAUACCGCCCAAGAGUUCAUAUCGACGGCGGUGUUUGGCACCUCGAUGUCGGCUCAUCACAUCCUGGGGCUGAAGUAGGUCCCAAGGGUAUGGCUGUUCGCCAUUUAAAGUGGUACGCGAGCUGGGUUUAGAACGUCGUGAGACAGUUCGGUCCCUAUCUGCCGUGGGCGCUGGAGAACUGAGGGGGGCUGCUCCUAGUACGAGAGGACCGGAGUGGACGCAUCACUGGUGUUCGGGUUGUCAUGCCAAUGGCACUGCCCGGUAGCUAAAUGCGGAAGAGAUAAGUGCUGAAAGCAUCUAAGCACGAAACUUGCCCCGAGAUGAGUUCUCCCUGACCCUUUAAGGGUCCUGAAGGAACGUUGAAGACGACGACGUUGAUAGGCCGGGUGUGUAAGCGCAGCGAUGCGUUGAGCUAACCGGUACUAAUGAACCGUGAGGCUUAACCUU
rnacentral:rRNA from 1 species